rnacentral:lncRNA from 1 species
AGACAUCAGUAGAAAACAGCCCAGAAACAGAAGUGUAGAUAAGAGAUGUGUCCCAGGGCUGACGCAAUACAAAUUUCAAGGCUGUGGAACCAGGAGAAGGUCUGAGGAACGGAGCUCCCGGAAGUAAAGGCAUUGCCUCACAUUUGAGUGGAUCCAGAGCAUGGGAUGAUGUCACCUACAUUCAGAAUAAGUGUUUCCUUCUCAGAUAAAUCCAGAGUAUUCAGUCCAGGGUCACACUCGCCUGGAUCUGUCUCUUUACUGUCUCCAGUCUGCAGCAUUCCUUUGGCCUUUCCUGGCCCUUCCUGACCUUGGAACUUGUGAAGAGUGCUGGUCAAGGUCAAUGUUAUUGUGGGAGAUCCUUCAAUCCGAGUUUACAUGAUGGUCUUUUCAUGACUAAAUGGAAGCUGCACGUUUUCUUGCCAAGAACACCACAGAAGGGAAACUCUACACUCCUGGGUGAAUCGGAUUAUGAUUACCUAAUGCUAAUGUUAUUAAUAGUGAUGCUGUUAACCUUGGUUGCUAGGUUAAGGAGAUGUUCUCUGGGUUUCCAUAGUGCAAAAGUUACCCGUUUUUCUCCCUUUGCAAUGGGUAAGGAUCUUGGGGAGAGUCUCUUAAAUCACAAAAAUGUGUGUGUGUGUGUGUGUGUGUGUGUGUGUGUGUGUGUGUGUGUGUGCGUGCGCGCGCGCGCGCACAUUAUAAAUAAUAUAUGUGUGUAUUUCUUGUUAUAAUUCAUCCAGCACUUUGAGCAUUCAUAUUAGUUCCAAUUUAGCAUGUUUUAGCUAAGUUAGCAUUCAAUUAGUUCUCACCUGCAAUAAUUAUUAUUAUAGCGUCUGCCUAAUGCUGACUGUUCUAUAUUCUUCACUCCUGCCUUUAUUAAUCUGGAGUUGUUGUGAGCCUAGCCUUUAACAGCUGGGCCAUCUCUCCAGCCCCUUAAUCUGGAAUUGUAAUGUAAGAAAGAGUGUUACAACGUCCCUUUAGAUGGCUAUGGAAAUGUAACAGGCCUAGAUAAAGUACCUGGCCUGAUGCUUGAAUGAGGAGACGAGUGAGAGAGCCUUGCUGGCACAUGGAAGAUAAAUUAAAUACUUGCUGUGCUUUUCA